rnacentral:rRNA from 1 species
UACGAAGGGGGCUAGCGUUGUUCGGAAUCACUGGGCGUAAAGCGCACGUAGGCGGACAGAUAAGUUGGGGGUGAAAGCCCAGGGCUCAACCCUGGAAAUGCCUCCAAUACUGUCGGGCUCGAGUUCGGGAGAGGUUAGUGGAAUUCCUAGUGUAGAGGUGAAAUUCGUAGAUAUUAGGAAGAACACCAGUGGCGAAGGCGGCUCACUGGCCCGAUACUGACGCUGAGGUGCGAAAGCGUGGGUAGCAAACAGG